UGGGCGAAAGCCUGAUCCAGCAAUGCCGCGUGAGUGAUGAAGGCCUUAGGGUUGUAAAGCUCUUUUACCAGGGAUGAUAAUGACAGUACCUGGAGAAUAAGCUCCGGCUAACUCCGUGCCAGCAGCCGCGGUAAUACGGAGGGAGCUAGCGUUGUUCGGAAAUACUGGGCGUAAAGCGAACGUAGGCGGUUUAUUAAGUCAGGGGUGAAAUCCCGGAGCUCAACUCCGGAACUGCCCUUGAAACUGCUUGACUAGAAUCCUGGAGAGGUCAGUGGAAUUCCGAGUGUAGAGGUGAAAUUCGUAGAUAUUCGGAAGAACACCAGUGGCGAAGGCGACUGCCUGGACAAGUAUUGACGCUGAGGUUCGAAAGCGUGGGGAGCAAACAGGAUUAGAUACCCUGGUAGUCCACGCCGUAAACGAUGAUAACUAGCUGUUCGGGCUCAUAGAGCUUGGGUGGCGCAGCUAACGCAU
rnacentral:rRNA from 1 species